rnacentral:sRNA from 1 species
UGCAACGAGGCAUUUGAGUCACGAUUUUUUGGGGGAAAGCUCUAUGCGUACUAUAUGGGCCGGGAAGUAGUAUCAGUCCUUUGUGUCCUGUUUGAAGAAAUGCUGAAUCUUACCAGCGUUUCAUAUUGCGGUGCAAGGAUAUUGCUUCGUCAAGUCUCCCCGAGCCUGAGGGCAUAUUCGAUCUGAUUAUCAAGCUCUCGAAAGUUUGUAAUGGGGAUUGGAAAUUGCUCUUGAAAUAGUCCAAUGCUGGACCCCAAGAUCUCGAGUACUUUUUAGACUACGCUGCAGUCUUCAUGGAUAGCCUUGGAAAUUAUCGUGUACGCCGCACACCCAAGGGUAGGAGAUCUGGUAUCAUUGUUCUAAAUUUGGUUUAGGGAGAUUCAACUUGUUCAGGAUGCCCUCUCAGCCCGUGAGCUUUUUUGUUUUUUUGCAAAACACCAGAUUGAAGAAAAACUCAAGAAGAAAAUAGCGAGGUCAACUAUGAACUGCUGUUAGCUUCGGUGGAUUGUUGGGAUCUAGGUUCUCCAGAACAAAAUGUGCAUCUGAAUGACGGUUCUGCGAAAAUCCAGUACACAUAUGGAGACCAUUCUACCCACUUGGAGAAAGCUGUGUAAAACGUUGCGGAGGCCACGAAAUACGCCCGGAGCGAUGUGACUCCCAUCGCCUCAAGAACUCGAGCUAUUCAGAAAUUCCCGGAGAGUGGUGCUAAGCUGCCGGAUGGUCGAGUGCGACUAUUAAGGUGAGAUAGGAAUAAGUAAACUUAAUCUGACUUACUCCGUAGUGUCUGGCUGUUGAUGUCUAUCUUGGUUGGGUCCUGGAUGCUGGAAUCCAGGGGAUGGUGCUGGGGAUGGUGCGGGCAACUGUUCACCAGCCCUGGGUUGGUUCUGUUGGAUCCCCUAAGGUAUCUGCCAUAAUGCGUGGUGUGGGGAAUGGCAGAUUAGAUAUCAUAAUAUUUUGGUGAUAUUUUUGUUGAGGUCAAACAGUGGUGGGAGUUAUGCUGGAGCACUUGUUUCGGUUAGGUUCAAAGAAAUAAGCAAACAACAAAAGAAACGUGCGAAUGGCCGGCUUGUAGAAGAAAUCCAGAAAGGGAUACAAGGAAAUUUAGAACAACAUAAUCAUAGAAGUUCUCAU